rnacentral:rRNA from 1 species
GUUAAAAAGCUCGUAGUUGGAUUUCUGUUGAGGAUGACCGGUCCGCUCUUUGAGCGCGUAUCUGGUUCAGCCUUGGCAUCCUCUUGGGGAACGCUACUGUGCUUGAUUGCAUGGGGCGGUAUUCAAGACUUUUACUUUGAGGAAAUUAGAGUGUUCACUGCAAGCGUUAGCAAUUGAAUACAUUAGCAUGGAAUAAUAAUAUAGGACCUUGGUACUAUUUUGUUGGUUUCUAGAACUAAGGUAAUGAUUAAUAGGGACAAUUGGGGGCAUUCGUAUUAACGCGUCAGAGGUGGAAUUCCUAGAUUGCGUUACGACGAACUACUGCGAAAGCAUUUGCCAAGGAUGUUUUCAUUGAUCAAGAACGAAAGUAUGGGGAUCGAAGACGCUUAGAUACCGUCGUAGUCUAUACCAUAAACUAUGCCAACUAGAGAUUGGAGGUCGUUCUCUUUAUGACUCCUUCAGCACCUUAUGAGAAAUCAAAGUCUUUGGGUUCCGGGGGGAGUAUGGUCGCAAGGCUGAAACUUAAAGGAAUUGACGGAAGGGCACCACCAGGAGUGGAGCCUGCGGCUUAAUUUGACUCAACACGGGAAAACUUACCAGGUCCAGACA